rnacentral:rRNA from 1 species
UACGGGGGGAGCAAGCGUUGUUCGGAUUUACUGGGCGUAAAGGGCGCGUAGGCGGCCAGCACAAGUCAGUUGUGAAAUCUCCGAGCUUAACUCGGAACGGUCAACUGAUACUGUGCGGCUAGAGUGCGGAAGGGGCAACUGGAAUUCUUGGUGUGAGCGGUGAAAUGCGUAGAUAUCAAGAGGAACACCUGCGGCGAAGGCGGGUUGCUGGGCCGACACGUGACGCUGAGGCGCGAAAGUGUGGGGAGCGAACAGGGA